UACGGAGGGUGCUAGCGUUAUUCGGAUUUACUGGGCGUAAAGCGCGCGUAGGCGGUUAGUAAAGUUGGAUGUGAAAGCCCGGGGCUUAACCUCGGAACUGCAUUCAAAACUCACUGACUAGAAUAUGGUAGAGGAUAGUGGAAUUCCUAGUGUAGAGGUGAAAUUCGUAGAUAUUAGGAGGAACACCAGUGGCGAAGGCGACUAUCUGGACCAUUAUUGACGCUAAGGCGCGAAAGCGUGGGGAGCAAAC
rnacentral:rRNA from 1 species